rnacentral:rRNA from 1 species
GAUGAACGCUAGCGGCAGGCCUAAUACAUGCAAGUCGAACGGUAGAUCGGGUAGCAAUACUUGAUUGAGAGUGACGUAAGGGUGCGUAACACGUAUGCAAUCUACCCUCAACAGGAGUAUAGCUCGGGGAAACUCGGAUUAACACUCCAUAACAUUACGAUGUGGCAUCACAUUGUGAUUAAAACUCCGGUGGUUGAGGAUGAGCAUGCGUCUGAUUAGUUAGUUGGAGGUGUAACGGACCCCCAAGACGAUGAUCAGUAGGGGAACUGAGAGGUUGAUCCCCCACACUGGCACUGAGAUACGGGCCAGACUCCUACGGGAGGCAGCAGUAGGGAAUAUUGGUCAAUGGGUGAGAGCCUGAACCAGCCAUGCCGCGUGAGUGAAGAAGGCC